rnacentral:rRNA from 1 species
UACGUAGGGGGCUAGCGUUGUCCGGAAUCAUUGGGCGUAAAGCGCGCGUAGGCGGCCAGAUAAGUCCGGUGUGAAAGUCACAGGCUCAACCUGUGAAUGCCGCUGGAAACUGUCUGGCUUGAGUCCGGAAGGGGCGAGUGGAAUUCCUGGUGUAGCGGUGAAAUGCGUAGAUAUUCGCAAGAACACCAGUGGCGAAGGCGGCUCACUGGCCCGAUACUGACGCUGAGGCACGAAAGCGUGGGGAGCAAACAGG